AUGCUAUUUGUACCCGUUACCGGUUUAUAGAUGAGUGCUAUUGGGGUUGGCCUGGCUCUGAACUUACGUGCCUAUGACUUUGUUUCCCAGGAAAUCCGUGCAGCGGAAGAUCCUGAAUUUGGUACCGAUCUUGUCGAUGAGAGGUUGUAG
rnacentral:rRNA from 1 species